GCCUUUGCUACCUCCUUCCCCCUCAAUAAUUUUUUAUGAAUGAUAGCUUUUCAACACCCUGGGAACAGCUUGUUGGGAAAAAGUGUUCUUCACAGGGUGCAGUCAAAUCCUACACAUUUCAUCAAGGGGAUCUUAUGAAAGGAGUAAUACUGUGCUUACAGGGACCAGAACAUACAGAAGAGAAAUGGAAAGAGGCGUUUCUUCUGUGACCCUUCACUCAGGCCAUUUAGGACUAGGAUUGUUAAUGAAUUAAUGAGUGUGAGAGAACUGACAUUAUGGAAUUGUGCAGCUGGGGUCUUUGAAGAGGAGAUUAACAUCCUGAAAAUCAACUUUUGGAGGUCCCUCCCCCCCAGUAGAUUUGCAAUCAGGUUCAAAAGAUUUGGCACUAAGACAUCAUCGAAGACUGUGCCAUCUCAUAAUGAAACCAGCUGGGUUUUUAAAAAAUCUAAAUUGUACAACUUGCAAAUUGCUUUUAGAUGUGCUGUCACCAUAGUUUCUGCCUCACUGCUGUAUCCAUGACUUAUUCUGUCAUAAUUAACUCUGCUGCUAAGUGUAAAUAAUGCUGGGGUGUGGAAAUGAAAUAUUUAUGUUUAUUGGGGUGCUUUCUGUUUUCCCACGAAUGAAUGAAAUACAGAAGUGGGAGAGUUUGGGUGUGUAUAUAUGUGAAACACUCCCCCUCUCAUUUUCCAUUAUCUAAUUCCAAGAAUAUGGCUAUCCCCAUUUGCUCCAGGAGGUGAGUGGGCAAUGCUUCAUUAUUUUCUUUGGGCUUGCAAGGUUAUCAGAAAAAAACACUAGAACAUUUUGAAAGGAGAUUAGGGCCUGUUCUUUUUCUGGCUUCGAGAAUGAAAUGAACCAAAGACUUGGAGCCACUGCUGUGUGCUUUUCAAGAGCAGAAAAAUCCAGGAUAACAAUAGGAAGGAAAGAUUAUGGCACACAGAGGUUCCAAGGUGAAAAACAUAAUUGUUAAUACAAGCUCCCAAGAAAGUCUGCCAUUACUAUUCAGCUUGAGUGGUAAAAAAAAAAUGAACAUUUGUUAUUAUUUCUGUCUAGAGAGUUUUUAAUUUUUUUAUUUGGAUAGGCUGAAUUUUCAUAUUACUGCAUAUUUUUAUUAUUUAUCACCUCUGGUAACCAGAAGCAUAAGUUAGUUACUGAGGCGCGUUAUAGACGGGCCUAAGAGGCACCGUCCUCGUGCCGCGAUUACGCGCAAGAGGCUGCGCUUCCAGACGCGCCUUGCCCCUCGCGCGUAACCAAUACGUCAAGAUAGUGGCGCCCUAUACAGAUGGGCGCUGCCAUCUUAACGUAGCGGACACUCUGCGUCUACACGUCCAAACCCAGAAGAGACAUCGUGAGUGCGCGCUUUGGCACUUGCAGCAUCUCUUCUGGGUUCCUGAAAGGAGCGCGAUUUGCGCGCUCCUUUUUUGCUCCAUGAGGGAGUCGCGCGGUUUGGCUGCUGCAGCUCCCUCACGGAGCAAACAGCAGCGGCCCAAGACUGCCCCUUUUGGGCGGUCUGUAACGGGCCUGAAUGUUUCAUUUGUUCAAAAUGGCUUACCAGAUGUGCCCAUGUUCUUUUAUUAUUCAAAAUAGACAAAUGUUCUUUGAUAGAUCUUGGUGUUCUCCCUAUAUAUUUUUAUUGCAUUUACAUUAGAUUGCAUAAAUUACAAAGUACUUUUACAAGUAUUGAAAGGGGACAGAUUGUCAGCAACUCAUCUGAGGCCUGUAGCCAAUGCUGGCAUACGGCAGAGUAAACUGGCAUACCUUUUUUGGUCUACAAAAUUGUUGAAUCCUUUCAUUUUGAUUGUAUAUUUACAAUAUACACAAUGACCAAAUGGGUAAAUGUUCUGUGGGCAUAUUUGCCCCUAACACAGUGUUGUUGCAUUUUCUAUUGGGGAUCCUAAAAUCUGCCCUCAUCACCAUGAGUUUAAUAUUUCUUGAUCUUGUAUAUGAAAUCAUUGGGUUUUUUUAAAUCUUGAAAUAUUUUCUAUCAAAUACCAGUGUUUCUUUAUAAAUUGUUGUAUAUUGUUUAUGACAUGGUUAAAUGUUAAUGCACAAUAUAUACAAUUAUUGUGGGGUUUGUCUUGUUUUUUCAAAAGUUUUGAGCGAUAUCUACACACUGCUUUAUGCUGUCUAUUAUCUAUUACAUAUUGUGGCUAACCUCUGUCCCUUAACUGUUUACUGAAUAAAUCCAAUCCAUUGCAAA